UACGUAGGGGGCUAGCGUUGUCCGGAAUCAUUGGGCGUAAAGAGCGUGUAGGCGGCCAAGUAGGUCCGGUGUGAAAUCCUGAGGCUUAACCUCGGAACUGCAUUCGAUACUGCGGCGCUUGAGGACUGGAGAGGAGGCUGGAAUUCAUGGUGUAGCAGUGAAAUGCGUAGAGAUCAUGAGGAAGACCAGUGGCGAAGGCGGGUCUCUGGACAGUUCCUGACACUGAGGCACGAAGGCCAGGGGAGCAAACGGG
rnacentral:rRNA from 1 species